rnacentral:rRNA from 1 species
UACGGAGGGGGCUAGCGUUGUUCGGAAUUACUGGGCGUAAAGCGCGCGUAGGCGGCUUUGUAAGUUAGAGGUGAAAUCCCCGGGCUCAACCUGGGAAUUGCGAUGGAGACUGCAAGGCUAGAAUCUGGGCAGAGGGGGGUGGAAUUCCGCGUGUAGCAGUGAAAUGCGUAGAGAUGCGGAGGAACACCGAUGGCGAAGGCAGCCCCCUGGGCCAAUACUGACGCUCAGGCACGAAAGCGUGGGGAGCAAACAGG